CUUGUUAUUUUGCUCAUAACAGUUUUCCUUUACUAAAGUUGUUAUUAACAUGUUUAUAUAAUUCGUCCUUCAAAGAUGUGUUGGUAUGAGAAACCUUUGAAGAUUAUCUACCGAUUUAUAUGGCACUAUAUUCAUCGUAGGAGUGAAAAUUGAAAUUCCGAAAUUACCGAGAAAUUAAUACUCAUGUGAGUCAUGUCUAAAGGAUUUAGAAGAAAUGUAAAUGGUAUAAUAACUUAUGUGCAGCUGGAUUUCGUUGUAUUUAAUAUUUUGUGAAAUACUUAGGCAGAAAUCAGUCAAGAUUUCACUAUCUGAAAUUGAAACCGCUAUUGUAGUAUAUGGCACCCUGUUUAUAAUAGUGAUAAAAAUCAUAAAACGUGAGGGAUGUUGGUUUUUUACAUUUCAAACACACUAUAUUUAAAAAAAUAUGAUGUACAUAGUUCAUAUUUAACAUCAUUCAGGUUUGCUAUUCUUUAAAUGAAUUUUGAUUAGAGUUUCUGAAUGAGAUGCCGAAACAAUGUGAAAGUUGGG